CUGGAACUGAGACACGGUCCAGACUCCUACGGGAGGCAGCAGUGGGGAAUAUUGCACAAUGGGCGCAAGCCUGAUGCAGACAUGCCAAGAUAGGAUUAGCUGGUAGGUGGAGUUACGGCACAACUAGGCUACGAUCCCUAGCUGUUAUGAGAGGAUGACCAGCCACACUGGAACUGAGACACGGACCAUACUCCUACGGGAGGCAGCAGUGGGGAAUAUUGUACAAUGGGCGCAAGCCUGAUGCAGCCAUUCCUCAUGUGUGAAGAAGGCCUUCGAGUUGUAAAGCACUUUCAGCGGGGAGGAAGGCGAUAAGGUUAAUAA
rnacentral:rRNA from 1 species